CCUACGGGUGGCAGCAGUGGGGAAUAUUGCACAAUGGGCGAAAGCCUGAUGCAGCGACGCCGCGUGAGCGAUGAAGGCCUUCGGGUCGUAAAGCUCUGUCCUCAAGGAAGAUCAUGACGGUGCUUGAGGAGGAAGCACUGGCUAACUACGUGCCAGCAGCCGCGGUAAUACGUCGGGGGCUAGCGGUAUCCGGAAUUACUGGGCGUAACGGGUGCGUAGGGGGUUUCUUAAGUCAGAGGUGAAAGGCUACGGCGCAACCGUAGUAAGCCUUGGAAACUGGGACACUUGAGUGCAGGAGAGGAGAGUGGAAUUCCGAGUGUAGCGGUGAAAUGCGUAGAUAUUAGGAGGAACACCAGUUGCGAAGGCGGCUCUCUGGACUGUAACUGACACUGAGGCACGAAAGCGUGGGGAGCAAACAGGAUUAGAUACCCCAGUAGUC
rnacentral:rRNA from 1 species